rnacentral:lncRNA from 1 species
AUUUCAUAUGAGAACAAAAGAACCAUCUCCUUAGUCUCUUGUCUCUUACCUUUCAAAAGGGCUACAAGUACUUACCUCUUUUUUUCUUUUUAAGCAGACCUUCUUGCUGGUGAUUUAAUUACCAUCUCACUGAACUCUCCUUGGUGCAUCUCUUGAACUUACAGUGCAUCACAUGAGAAAAAUCAACUCCUUAAUCUGGCCCAGGUCUGUGUGAGCGCUUACGUGGUACUAUUGAGAAGAAGGAACAAGAAGAUGAAUGAGGCAGGACUGCAUCUUUAAUGGGCAUUACCAGGACAGCCUGCUUUGUUGUGCUUCGAAACAGUGGAAUACCUCUCCAAGUGCAUGGUAUAAUUCAGACACUGCAGCCUUAACAACCUUCAGUCUACUUGCCGUUUCUCAUUUAACUUGCAGGAUAUCCAUCUGUUGGUGACGGAAUCUGUCAAACUGGAAUUGUUUGUAACCUGUUGUUAAUUUGAUGUUAGCCGCUUCUUUGUCAAACGUCAUGAAACGACUCACUGAUGCAAAGCUUAUUUCUUAUUUGCAGUUCUGUCAGAUAUAAGACGACGAUAUUGACAACAAUCACUGUAUAGUUAACAAUGGUAACUGUAGAUGGAAUUCUUCACCAUUAAGUAUGCUGCUUAAUGUGUAACACUAAGAGUUCUAAAUCUUCUAAUUAAUUUAACCUCCUGUGGUUAGGGCCAUGGGUUAGUGCCCUUUUCCAAUUCUACUGACUCUUUAAUAACUGGGGGAAAAAAAAAAGAAAAAAAGAAAAAAAAAAAGAAAAAGAAAAGUGGAGGCAGAAAAAUAUAUUUCCUAUGAGUUAUUUGGGCUGAAGUAAUUAAUGGACAUACUGAGGAAAAUAUAUUUGGAAGACAGUCCCUCCCAUAAGAGACUACAUGGGACAAUUGUUUCUCUCUUAAAUCUCUUUUAUAAUUAUAUGAUUAAAAAAGUAGCUGCAGAGAUCCCUUCUUUUUUUAAGUAAGG